UCGAGCGUCAUUGCACCCCUCAAGCUCAGCUUGGUAUUGGUCCCCGCCCCUCGGGCGGGCCCGAAAAGCAGUGGCGGUCCGGCGUGGAUCCGAGCGUAGUAAAUCAUCCACCGCUCUGGAGAAGCCCCGCGGCCGGCCAUCAACCGCCCAACUUUCUAAGAAUUGACCUCGGAUCAGGUAGGGAUACCCGCUGAACUUAA
rnacentral:misc_RNA from 1 species